rnacentral:rRNA from 1 species
CUUCCCUUCGGGGCAUUCCAGACAGGUGGUGCAUGGUUGUCGUCAGCUCGUGUCGUGACGACGUUGGGUUAAGUCCCGCAACGAGCGCAACCCUUAUCCUUAGUAGCCAGCAGUUCGGCUGGGCACGUCUGGGGAGACUGCCGAGGGAUAACCUGGAGGAAGGUGGGGAUGACGUCAAAUCAUCAUGCCCCUUAUGAUUUGGGCUACACACGUGCUACAAUGGCGUAAACAAAGGGAAGCAAAGGAGUGAUCCGGAGCAAAAUCUCAAAAAUAACGUCUCAGUUCGGAUUGUAGUCUGCAACUCGACUACAUGAAGCUGGAAUCGCUAGUAAUCGCGGAUCAGAAUGCCGCGGUGAAUACGUUCCCGGGUCUU